rnacentral:rRNA from 1 species
GACGAACGCUGGCGGCGUGCUUAACACAUGCAAGUCGAACGUGAUUUUUGUGGAAAUUCUUUCGGGAAUGGAAAUGAAAUGAAAGUGGCGAACGGGUGAGUAACACGUGAGCAACCUACCUUACACAGGGGGAUAGCCGUUGGAAACGACGAUUAAUACCGCAUGAGACCACAGAAUCGCAUGAUAUAGGGGUCAAAGAUUUAUCGGUGUAAGAAGGGCUCGCGUCUGAUUAGCUAGUUGGAAGGGUAAAGGCCUACCAAGGCGACGAUCAGUAGCCGGUCUGAGAGGAUGAACGGCCACAUUGGAACUGAGACACGGUCCAAACUCCUACGGGAGGCAGCAGUGGGGAAUAUUGCACAAUGGGGGGAACCCUGAUGCAGCGACGCCGCGUGAGCGAAGAAGGUUUUCGAAUCGUAAAGCUCUGUCCUAUGAGAAGAUAAUGACGGUAUCAUAGGAGGAAGCCCCGGCUAAAUACGUGCCAGCAGCCGCGGUAAUACGUAUGGGGCGAGCGUUGUCCGGAAUUAUUGGGCGUAAAGGGUACGUAGGCGGCCUUUUAAGUCAGGUGUGAAAGCGUGAGGCUUAACCUCAUUAAGCACUUGAAACUGGAAGGCUUNAGUGAAGGAGAGGAAAGUGGAAUUCCUAGUGUAGCGGUGAAAUGCGUAGAUAUUAGGAGGAAUACCGGUGGCGAAGGCGACUUUCUGGACUUUUACUGACGCUCAGGUACGAAAGCGUGGGGAGCAAACAGG